rnacentral:sRNA from 1 species
CGAAGCAUGGUCUGCAACUACGGUCUGAUAGUUGUUUGCUAACAUUUCUACGCGGGUCAAGGGGAGUCGCGAUAUCCAUAAUAGCCCUGACGGAGAUCUACCCAUCAUUUGUCUGUCUCCUCAUUUUCAUAUCUUUGACAAAAUUGGAUGGAGAAUGCCUUUCGUCUCUUUCACUGGCGCUCUCUACAUCAUAGUCUUUGCCCUCGUCGGUCUUACCACCGUCCACCCCCUCUGCUCUAUCCCCAUCUCCCACUAGUAUAUAAGCUUGCCUGAUCUUCCCAAGCUAAUAUACCUCCAUCCUAUACCAUACGCCAACAGACAAGUGUCAAGAGGUAUAUCAUACAUAUAUCUCAUUGUUUAGUUAAACUACGGCUUUCCAUCUCGUCUCCAAGGCCGGACCUUGUUGGGGGACGAGUCGUAACAGCUUUGAGCUUGUUUAAAAGGACAUGGAAGCUCUUGAUUGGUGGGUCAAGAACCGCCUGGCACACUUUUCGACGGUCGAUCACACUGCUUUGCCUCAGUGACUCAAGGUUAUAAGUUUGAUAGCCACCUCUAACAGAUUAGUAUUUAGAUGUGUAAUAGUCCUUGUAAAAUGCAGUAAUAGUCUCUAUCUGUCUCUUACUGUGAGCUUAUCCCAGCGGCCUUUACUAUGAUACUUGCAAUGCAUAUACAACUUCUUUUUG